GGUUUUGAUUCGAUUUGUUUGAAUCGUUCUUUCUAGCACUUAAUCUAAUGGAUGUAAAUCAGGUUGUAAUGAUCAACGUCUAAGCAUACACCCAAAAGAUCUUAUCGAGUUUUAAUUUCAAUAAGUUUUAUUUUUAUUUUUUGAAAGAGAAGAAGAGAAAAGGAGGGGGAGAGAAAAGAGUUAUAAAGAAGAGAAUCUAAAGAGUUCUAAGGCUAAGAAGAGAGAAGA
rnacentral:lncRNA from 1 species